CAAUAAAAAAAAAAAAAAAAAGAGAGAGAGAGAGAGAGAGAAAAGGAGAGCACUGUUAAGAGCUUGAUAGGAACUUUUGUUGCAGGAGAGAUGGCACCUCGAGCUAUUGCUUUUGCAUCAUGCAUUGUUAUAUCACAUGUGCCUUUUGAUAUGUUCAUGUGGAAUAGCUACAAGUGCCAUCUCUUUUCAACAAAAGCUCCUUUAACCUCGAGAAGUUAUUGCAUGAUCCAUCUUUAUCAGCUCAAUCGAUCUCUCUCUCUCCCUCCUUACGGCAUGCGCGUGUCUAUGUUUGCACGAACCAGAGAGCUUCAGCGUCACGAGGAAACGGGUGCUUUGCUUCUACAGCAAGAAAAAUGCAUACAUAUCUGCUAAGCAAAGGAAAAGGAAACAAAAGGAAGAAAACCCAGGGGAAAGAAAGAAGGAACCGUAGACCGCUCGAGUAUUGUAUUUUCAUCAGGCGUUGUAAUCCCGGUGUACGUUAGUCGGUUGUGUGGUCAGAAAAAUGUAUUGUGUACCCGUCUUUCUUAUCUAACGUCUGAAUUCGAAUUAUUGAGCAGUCAUAGCGAGGAUCAAUGUAUUCCAACCAUUAUUCAAUGCAAACGGGACGAAAGAACUGCCAGACUCGGUGAAGGUCCGUGAGAUGUUUUCGGGCGGCUUUCAUUGGACAAGAUUGAACCAAUGAAAACUCACGUUUGCUGCCAAGGAGUGUGUGGUCUGGUUACAAUCUUGGGCUUCCGGAAAAGUGGCCUAUGUGAUAGUUGCUGUAUUUCAGUUCAAUCCUGUUCAAUUUUAUCUGGUUUUGUUGCAAAAGCAGAAGAUAAUGAACCACCAAGAUUGAAAACAGAACCGAUUUACACACAACUUACCUUGGUUUGGUUCGAAACUUUUGUUCCCACCAUAUUAAUGCGGUACAAUUCCACUUCUUGUCA